AACGAACGCUGGCGGCAUGCCUAACACAUGCAAGUCGAACGAGACCUUCGGGUCUAGUGGCGCACGGGUGCGUAACGCGUGGGAACCUGCCCUUAGGUUCGGAAUAACUCCCCGAAAGGGGUGCUAAUACCGGAUAAUGUCUUCGGACCAAAGAUUUAUCGCCUUUGGAUGGGCCCGCGUUGGAUUAGCUAGUUGGUAGGGUAAAAGCCUACCAAGGCGACGAUCCAUAGCUGGUCUGAGAGGAUGAUCAGCCACACUGGGACUGAGACACGGCCCAGACUCCUACGGGGGGCAGAGGUGGGGAAAAUGGGACAAGGGGCGAAAGCCUGAUCCAGCAAGGCGGGGUGGGGGAUGAAGGCCUUGGGGUUGAAAAGCUCUUUUACCCGGGAUGAAAAGGACAGAACGGGGAGAAUAAGCCCCGGCUAACCCCG
rnacentral:rRNA from 1 species